CCCUUGCGAUGGCUGAACCUGUCAGUUGCCUGGAGCCAAGUCCAAGGAUUUUUCUGAGCCUGAUGGAUUUACAGUGAUCGUUGGUGGCCUGGGGAA
rfam:Choloepus hoffmanni cont1.506302, whole genome shotgun sequence.